UACGAAGGGGGCUAGCGUUGCUCGGAAUCACUGGGCGUAAAGGGUGCGUAGGCGGGUCUUUAAGUCAGGGGUGAAAUCCUGGAGCUCAACUCCAGAACUGCCUUUGAUACUGAAGAUCUUGAGUUCGGGAGAGGUGAGUAGAACUGCGAGUGUAGAGGUGAAAUUCGUAGAUAUUCGCAAGAACACCAGUGGCGAAGGCGGCUCACUGGCCCGAUACUGACGCUGAUGCACGAAAGCGUGGGGAGCAAACAGG
rnacentral:rRNA from 1 species